rnacentral:rRNA from 1 species
GAUGAACGCUGGCGGCGUGCCUAAUACAUGCAAGUCGAGCGAACAGACGAGGAGCUUGCUCCUCUGACGUUAGCGGCGGACGGGUGAGUAACACGUGGAUAACCUACCUAUAAGACUGGGAUAACUUCGGGAAACCGGAGCUAAUACCGGAUAAUAUAUUUAACCGCAUGGUUCAAUAGUGAAAGACGGUUUUGCUGUCACUUAUAGAUGGAUCCGCGCCGCAUUAGCUAGUUGGUAAGGUAACGGCUUACCAAGGCAACGAUGCGUAGCCGACCUGAGAGGGGGAUCGGCCACACGGGAACUGAGACACGGUCCAGACUCCUACGGGAGGCAGCAGUAGGGAAUCUUCCGCAAUGGGCGAAAGCCUGACGGAGCAACGCCGCGUGAGUGAUGAAGGUCUUCGGAUCUUAAAACUCUGUUAUUAGGGAAGAACAAAUGUGUAAGUAACUAUGCACGUCUUGACGGUACCUAAUCAGAAAGCCACGGCUAACUACGUG